CCUACGGGAGGCAGCAGUGAGGAAUAUUGGACAAUGGGCGCAAGCCUGAUCCAGCCAUGCCGCGUGCAGGAAGAAGCAUCUAUGGUGUGUAAACUGCUUUUGUACAGGAAGAAACACUCCCUCGUGAGGGAGCUUGACGGUACUGUAAGAAUAAGGACCGGCUAACUCCGUGCCAGCAGCCGCGGUAAUACGGAGGGUCCGAGCGUUAUCCGGAAUCAUUGGGUUUAAAGGGUCCGUAGGCGGUUUAAUAAGUCAGUGGUGAAAUCUGGUCGCUCAACGAUCAAACGGCCAUUGAUACUGUUAGACUUGAAUUAUAAGGAAGUAACUAGAAUAUGUAGUGUAGCGGUGAAAUGCUUAGAUAUUACAUGGAAUACCAAUUGCGAAGGCAGGUUACUACUUAUGGAUUGACGCUGAUGGACGAAAGCGUGGGGAGCGAACAGGAUUAGAUACCUGGUAGUCCACGCCGUAAACGAUGGAUACUAGCUGUUCGGAGCAAUCUGAGUGGCUAAGCGAAAGUGAUAAAGUAUCCCACCUGGGGAGUAACGUUCGCAAGAAUGAAACUUAAAUGAAUUGAGG
rnacentral:rRNA from 1 species